rnacentral:lncRNA from 1 species
GUGAGACAGAAUCAGCUUCUGCCUUUCUCAGAGCCUCAGGCUCAGGGGAGCCCCAGGGCCUUAGGGGGGAUGUGGAAUGAGACCAAGAUGCCACCCUGGAGAAUUGCGCUAAGCGGAGCUGUCGGCAAAAAUCCUGGUCUAUUCCAGGUAUGCCCGCCAGGCGGCGCAGAGGCACCAGAGACAGGCGCGGAACUCGCAGCGGGGUGGGCACCUUCCUCCAGCGCAAUUUUCCUUACCAAGUGGGGAGGGGGAGGUGGGCACGCUGUGCCUGCUCCGGGUCGGCGCCUGGCAACUGUGUACACGGUACACAGAGAGAGAGGAGGAUUCUGCCUCCACCGAGGAGAGAGCGUAGGGUAGCUGUUAACAGCUUGGACACAGGCACCAUACAGACCCGGUAGGAAAUCUGGACCCCGUUGGUGGCUUUAUCGUGUCACCCACCCCGACACCUGGCCUCUGACACGUGGAGUGGGUGCAAGGUGGACGGUGGGCAACUCCCCCAGCAGAGAAGUCUCCAUCAGAGGGCAGGAAGGCCCAGCCACCACCUGGAGAAGGACGGCGUUAGUAAGCUGACAUCGAGGGGUCGGAAUCUCGCUGUGUGUGCGGUCCGGGGUCUGCCCUCUCAUCUCUCGGCUUGCUCACGGGGCCGGCGGGUCGCAUCGUACCCAGCUGAAGGACGAAACGACAGUGGCCGGCCAUCAGCGAGGAGGAGGAGGAGGGCCCGGCGGGAACCAGGACGCGGUUUCCUGGCUGCGCUCCCGGGGAAGGGGGUUUGCGCUGGGUCCCAUCCCCCGGCCGGUCCCGCUCAGGAAACGCGGAGAGAAAGCCAGGAACCAGGCCUGCCAGGCCCCGCGGCCCCGCGCCCGCCCUCCUCCCUGCCCUCC